rnacentral:rRNA from 1 species
GACGGGUGAGUAACACGUGAGCAACCUGCCCGAAAGUGAGGAAUAGCCCGGGGAAACUCGGAUUAAUACCGCAUAUGAUUCUGCAAGGCAUCUUGUGGCAAUCAAAGCUGGGGAUCGUAAGACCUGGCGCUUUCGGAUGGGCUCGCGGCCUAUCAGCUUGUUGGUAAGGUAACGGCUUACCAAGGCUACGACGGGUAACUGGUCUGAGAGGACGACCAGUCACACUGGAACUGAGACACGGUCCAGACACC